rnacentral:rRNA from 1 species
CGCGUAGGUGGCUUAUCAAGUUAGAUGUGAAAUUUCAGGGCUUAACCUUGGAGCUGCAUCUAAAACUGGUAAGCUAGAGUUCAGUAGAGGGUAGUGGAAUUUCCAGUGUAGCGGUGAAAUGCGUAGAUAUUGGAAGGAACAUCAGUGGCGAAGGCGACUAUCUGGACUGAAACUGACACUGAGGCGCGAAAGCGUGGGGAGCGAACA